rnacentral:lncRNA from 1 species
GCGGGUAUGAACCCAUUUCACACGUGAUGACAGAGCAUAAGUACAGUACAGUAAAAUAGGGUGAGAAUUAUACCAUCAAGGGUAAUCGUCUACCCCAAGAUUUGCUAAUAAUCCUCGUUGGUAUGAAAACUCUGCUACUAGAACCUGGAGGGGUGAAAAACAGGGUGAGUGGGCCUAAAAAUAAAGUUUUAAUAAAAACCUUUUGAAAACGUUAUAUCCCCUUGCCAUAAAACCUGCAUAGUUUCCAGAAAAUACUACUAUGUAGGUAUGAAAACCAAUGCACAAGAGAAACAAAAACUGAAGUAUGCCAUGUCAUAAUAUCUCAGCAAUAAUAAAUGUAAGCCAGGUGCGAAACCAAUAUAAAAUAGUAUGCCAGUCGGAGUCACCUAAUGUGACCUGUACAACUAGACCUAUAGCUCAUCAACAUAUGUCUGCACACGAGUCGGAAUCACCUAAUGUGACAUGUACGAAAGGCUGGGUGUAAAUAAGUACGCUCAAGUGCUAUGAUCACGUGAAAGUUGAGCGAUAGAUCGCGGGUCACCUACGAGUCGGAACCACCUAUUGUGGUAUAUACGAUAGGCUAGCACCAAAACUUGGAUCUAAGGUAAGCGUGUGGUGCGGGAGGUGAACAAUCAUGUGAAAGUUGUGCCCUAGCCUCGGAUGAACACUAACACCGGGUUGCAGCAUAAUAAGCUCUAAAUACAUAAAUAUAUAGCAAUAUGCAAUGCAACAAGACCAAUCACAUGCUAACUCACCUGAAACUUACUUGAGCCUCCGCAUCAUCAAAUAGUAUAAUUCACAAUUCAUACAAAUGCAACAAUAUAGUAAUAAGCGGUAUAGACAUGGCAUACAAGGCAUAAAUUCAUUUAAAAAUGUUUUCUGGAAAUCGUAAAGCUUAUAUAUAGAAAACAAAUGCCCACUCACCUGAGGUUCGCGCUACAACUCUGUAGCACGAAUAUCAAGGCAUCACAAACGAUCGUCGCCUAGAACAAAUAUUCAGUCACGUCUCAAAAUUCUUAUCAAUAGAACAUGUUACUUACAUAAAACACAUCCCCAAGGACUUUCUAAAAUGAUUUGAGACCCAUUGACCAAAAGUCAGUCGUCGGUCAAAGAUCGACGGUAGGGUCCACAAUCCUUACAUAACUCGAUCCGGAAGAUCCGCAUCAUAGAUUUCUGAUCCGUAACUUCUAAAGAUCCACAUUAUGCUUCUAAAACUUCACACUAAAGUUUCAUUAUGAUCUAACGGUUGGAUCUCCGUCAAUUGCAAGUGCAAGUGGCAGUUAAUGUUUUAUUUUAUGAACUUACAAAUCCAAUUCGGGAAGAUCUAUACCUCAGAUUCCCAAUCCGUAAGUUCCUAACAUCCUCAAAUAUUAUGUAUUAUAAUUUAUCAAAGUUUGGUGACAAUCCAAUGGUCGGAUCGUUGAAUACUAUAAUAAUCAAGUGGCAGACCUUAAUGGAACUAGGUUUAAACGAUGGAAAUUCGUCAAUCGAACUUCACGUACGGAAUUGGAGAAUCAAAUUGAACCUAGGAAGGUUAGGGAAUGCCUCGGCCCACGUGCCACCGCCACGUGCCACCGUACACGGCGGUCGGCCGCCUUGACUCAACGGAAAAAUUAACUAUUUCUAAAAAUUCUCAAACUUCACAAAAAUGAAGAUCUUAGAAAGCAGAGCAAGUUUUAUACCUAUGACCAAGUCCAAUUUGGCCAGGAAAAGCCUCAAAUCACCAUGAACUCGUCGGGACCCUAGAAUUUGGGUGUUUCUUGAUUCGUCCUCAAAUCAACUCCGACACUCCAACCAAUGAUUGGGAAUUGUUUCUAAGCUCAAGGGAAGUUGUUUGAUGGUGAGGAUCAAUGGGAUUGCAAUAAAAAAUGGUGGAUCGCCGCCUAGGAACUCAUGGGAUUGUCGUCAGAGCCAACGGCUUCGAACUCCAUGAAAUAGGGCCCAUUUCCCUCGAUUUUGGGGUGAAACAUGAGGGAGGAAGGUCGUGGAGUUGGUUCUAAGUGGUUAGAUGGCGUGAUUUGCUGGAAAAACCAACAAAAAACCAUCAGAGAAGACAAGAAAACUGGGUCGGGUCGGCAAGGAGGAACAGAGUCAAGGGUGAUCCGAUGCUCCUCCACUCUCUCAUUUCCCCUUCUUUCUUCUCUCCCCCAUUGGUCACUCUCUUCAUUCUCUUCUUUCUGAUUGGGCAUCUCGUCCCUCUUUUCUCUCCUUUAUAUUUCAUCUCCACCGCCCAUCUUUUCUUCCCUUUAAUCUGUGCCACACAUAUAUGGCUUUCCAGAUUUUGCUCCAAAAAUCUGGAGCAUUCCAGAAAAUAUUCAAAUGACUAUUUUGUCCCUAUUUUUCCUCACCCAUAACUUAUUCGUUAUAGCUCCAAAUCACGUUUCGUUUGUGCUCACGUGCUCAUAUCGAUGAGUACUACCUGAAUAUGCCAAGAUAACAGAUUUUACGUGAUAUGAUAAGACGGUCAACAAAAGUCAACGUAUUUGCCUCGAAGGCAUUUCCGUAAAUUCACAUUUAAAAAUUAUAAAGACUGUAAUUUUUGGGGAUAGGUCGUUACAAAAAGUAU